GGAAAUUUGAAGAACAAUGAUUUCCUUAGAGGAAAUUUGUUGUCUUGAAGGAAAUCUUUUUCCCUUGAAUAAACAAUUUCCCUUGAGGAAAAAACAAUUUCCCUUUGAGGAAAAAUCUUUUUCCUUUAGGGAAAUUUGAUUUCCCUUGAGGAAAACAACUAUUCCUCUAAGGAAAUUGUUGAAAAAAGGGGCAUAACUUUUUUAACAGUGGUGCUAGAGCCAAAAAAUUUUAGGACAAAUAUCAGGGAACCAAUACCAACCAAGUUAUCAACUUCAUUUUGACUUAACUCCAAAAAUUAAGGUGAACAACUUUUGCACUCAGCGGAAUUGCAAACUUGUCCCGGAGACAAAUCUGCUUUUCUGAGAUGUUUUACAAGGUUCCAAAAAUGUGUUAUGCCC
rnacentral:lncRNA from 1 species